rnacentral:rRNA from 1 species
UACGUAGGGUGCGAGCGUUGUCCGGAAUUAUUGGGCGUAAAGGGCUCGUAGGCGGUUUGUCGCGUCGGGAGUGAAAACACCGGGCUUAACUCGGUGCUGGCUUUCGAUACGGGCAGACUAGAGGUAUGCAGGGGAGAACGGAAUUCCUGGUGUAGCGGUGAAAUGCGCAGAUAUCAGGAGGAACACCGGUGGCGAAGGCGGGUCUCUGGGCAGUAACUGACGCUGAGGAGCGAAAGCGUGGGGAGCGAACAGG